rnacentral:lncRNA from 1 species
AGCCGACGGUGUCUCCGAGUCAUCACUCGACGUCCCGUCAGUUGAAUACUGACAUAUAGUCGGCCAACCGCCCAAACGUCGUACAAUCGCUAUGGGCAGUUGUCCUGUCAAGGACAUGCGGUAUGGCCGCUCUGGGAUAUUGUCCUGCCAAGGACAUGGAUUAAUCCCAGUGACUUGACAAUCUACGGCGAUUUGACAGUCCCCGGCAAUUUGACAACUCCUUAGUUGACUGCACCAUUAAUGGCGGGAUCAUACCUCAUUCUACUAUAAAAGAGGGUA